rnacentral:rRNA from 1 species
UACGGAGGGUGCAAGCGUUAUCCGGAUUCACUGGGUUUAAAGGGUGUGUAGGCGGGCAGUUAAGUCAGUGGUGAAAUCUCCGAGCUUAACUCGGAAACUGCCGUUGAUACUAUUUGUCUUGAAUAUUGUGGAGGUAAGCGGAAUAUGUCAUGUAGCGGUGAAAUGCAUAGAUAUGUCACAGAACACCGAUUGCGGAGGCAGCUUACUAUGGUAUGAUU